rnacentral:rRNA from 1 species
GACGAUAAUGACGGUAAGCUAGGAGGAAGCCACGGCUAACUACGUGCCAGCAGCCGCGGUAAUACGUAGGUGGCGAGCGUUGUCCGGAAUUACUGGGCGUAAAGGGAGCGUAGGCGGUUUAUUAAGUGGGAUGUGAAAUCCCCGGGCUUAACCUGGGAAUUGCAUUUCAAACUGGUAGACUAGAGUGCAGGAGAGGAAAGUGGAAUUCCAAGUGUAGCGGUGAAAUGCGUAGAGAUUUGGAGGAACACCAGUGGCGAAGGCGACUUUCUGGACUGUAACUGACGCUGAGGCUCGAGAGCGUGGGGAGCAAACAGGAUUAGAUACCCUGGUAGUCCACGCUGUAAACGAUGAAUACUAGGUGUAGGGGGCGAAGCCCUCUGUGCCGCAGUUAACACAUUAAGUAUUCCGCCUGGGGAGUACGAUCGCAAGAUUA